UUGAGGAUGAUGAAAUCAAUCAGACGGAUUCCCAUUGUUUUUUCAUAUGAGAACAUAUAUAACCAGCUACUUCUGACUCUA
rnacentral:snoRNA from 1 species